UACGUAGGGACCAAGCGUUGUUCGGAUUUACUGGGCGUAAAGGGCGCGUAGGCGGCUUAACAAGUCACUUGUGAAAUCUCCGGGCUUAACUCGGAACGGCCAAGUGAAACUGUCAAGCUAGAGUGCAGAAGGGGCAAUCGGAAUUCUUGGUGUAGCGGUGAAAUGCGUAGAUAUCAAGAGGAACCCCUGAGGUGAAGACGGGUUGCUGGGCUGACACUGACGCUGAGGCGCGAAAGCUAGGGUAGCAAACGGG
rnacentral:rRNA from 1 species